rnacentral:rRNA from 1 species
UACGGGGGGGGGCAAGCGUUGUUCGGAAUUACUGGGCGUAAAGGGCUCGUAGGUGGCCAACUAAGUCAGACGUGAAAUCCCUCGGCUUAACCGGGGAACUGCGUCUGAUACUGGAUGGCUUGAGUUCGGGAGAGGGAUGCGGAAUUCCAGGUGUAGCGGUGAAAUGCGCAGAUAUCAGGAGGAACACCAAUGGCGAAGGCAGGUCUCUGGGCCACUACUGACGCUGAGAAGCGAAAGCAUGGGGAGCGAACAGG